ensembl:antisense
GAGACAGGCAUAUGGCUGUGGUGGAGACCGGGGCUCCAGAGACAUGGCAUUUGUAUGUAAGUGUCUCAGAAGACAUGGAUCAGGAUUCUGAGUGUGCACUUUGACACCAAGCCAACUUGUGAUGCUCUGCCUAAUUCUGGCCCAUGGAANGACUAUAACUUUCCUUCUUGGUAUUUCUUUAGAUCUUCAUUCUAAUUCACUUUAUUCACACCAAAGCUCUGAAGUUGUGGGAAUGGUGUACUUACAUUCCAUGUUCUGAGAAGAUGGUGACAUCCAUAUAACUCCUCCUAGUAGCAGGAAUCACACCAGUGUCUGCUAUAUUCAUCUACCCCUUUAUUCUGCUGUGAGCACCUCCAUAAAUGUGAGCUCAAAUCCAGUGCUCAUGUUAGACAGNAAGCCAGCUAGCCAACUGUCAAUUACUAAUAACUCAUACCAUCAAUGUCCAGUUGACCUCUGNAUCAAGCAAGCAAAGUCAAUCCAGUUAAAAUCCAGGCCCAGAGAAAGUAUGAAUAUUUAGAGCAUAUAUGUUCUGAGAAUGUACUAUGUAGAGCUCCUAAGCAAAACAAGCAAGUUUUUCUUAUUUUUAAUUGAGGUCUAGUUGUGCUCAGUCACUUUGGAGAGACUAUGCUACAUUCUCUGACAUCCUUAUCCCAUAUUCUUGCUAAGUAGUCAUCUUUCUUAGGGUUUCUAGUGCUCUCAAGAGACACCAUGAUCACAGCAACUCUUAUAAAGAAAAUCAUUUAAUUGGAGCUGGCUUAUAGUUGAGAAAUUU